ACUUCUCACUGGUGUACAUGAUAUGUCUUCCAACGCAUGCGUUUUUUUAAUUAUUUUGUUCAAUCCGGACCGGGCUUAUAUGGGCUUGUUGGACUGGACUGUUGCUUAUGGCCCAAUAAGCGAAGUGAUGAAUUGGAGGGAAAGCAAAUUCGAAUUCAUGGCCAAAAGAAGCAAAUUAAUUCAAAAAAUUCCACCUAGGAUUUGUGCAGAUUGUAUGUGUGAUUGACAUGUGUCAAAAAUUUCCAUUUAGCUGUGGUCUUUUUGUGUAGUUAAAAUGAUU
rnacentral:lncRNA from 1 species